rnacentral:lncRNA from 1 species
AUCCAUGACGCCAGUAACUUAUCGCCUAAUUAUGGAUCUUUCAUGCAACUUUAUUAUGACAAAUAUGUUGAUUACAUGAAUGAGAAUAUACUCGAAAUCUACCUUCAAGUUUGUACUACACUUAUUAUACAGAUACAUGUAGAGUAACAUCUUUACCCAUGCACGUUUGAAU